UGUAAGCGUGUACCAAAGUUGUUGCAGUUAAAACGCUCGUAGUCGGAAUUUGGCAGUUCCGGAAGUGUGCACGUCGUGUGCGCACUUUGCGGGGACUGCUUUUGUGGUCUUGCGUAGGAUGAGGCACUUUCAUUAGUGAACGUCCUCACGCAACCACUCUUUACUGUGAGAAAAUCAGAGUGCUCAAAGCAGGCAUUUGCCGUGAAUGUAUUAGCAUGGAAUAAUAGAAUAGGACUCGGUUCUAUUUUGUUGGUUUGUUGGGACUGAGUAAUGAUUAAGAGGGACAGUUGGGGGCAUUUGUAUUCCGGCGCUAGAGGUGAAAUUCUUAGAUUGCCGGAAGACAAACUGCUGCGAAAGCGUCUGCCAAGGAUGUUUUCAUUGA
rnacentral:rRNA from 1 species